rnacentral:rRNA from 1 species
UACAGAGGGGGCAAGCGUUAUUCGGAAUUAUUGGGCGUAAAGGGCGCGUAGGCGGCCUGGCAAGUGGAAGGUGAAAUCCCUCGGCUUAACCGAGGAACUGCCCUCCAAACUGCUUGGCUUGAGACCGGGAGAGGUGAGUGGAAUUCCCAGUGUAGCGGUGAAAUGCGUAGAUAUUGGGAGGAACACCAGUGGCGAAGGCGGCUCACUGGACCGGUACUGACGCUGAGGCGCGAAAGCGUGGGGAGCAACGGG